CCCGGCACAGCCAGAAGAGGACUGGCCACCCCUCAUAGCCUGGUUCCUCUCUAGGUUUAUAAUCUCCACCCGGCACAGCCAGAAGAGGACUGGCCCACCCCUCAUAGCCUGGUUCCUCUCUAGGUUUAUAAUCUCCACCCGGCACAGCCAGAAGAGGACUGGCCACCCCUCAUAGCCUGGUUCCUCUCUAGGUUUAUAAUCUCCACCCGGCACAGCCAGAAGAGGACUGGCCACCCCUCAGAGCCUGGUUCCUCUCUAGGUUUAUAAUCUCCACCCGGCACAGCCAGAAGAGGACUGGCCACCCCACAUAGCCUGGUUCCUCUCUAGGUUUAUAAUCUCCACCCCUCAUAGCCUGGUUCCUCUCUAGGUUUAUAAUCUCCACCCCUCAUAGCCUGGUUCCUCUCUAGGUUUAUAAUCUCCACCCCUCAUAGCCUGGUUCCUCUCUAGGUUUAUAAUCUCCACCCCUCAUAGCCUGGUUCCUCUCUAGGUUUAUAAUCUCCACCCCUCAUAGCCUGGUUCCUCUCUAGG